rnacentral:rRNA from 1 species
UCGGGUGGGUUGCCGAUGCCGUGCGGACCCGUGGCGCGGACGGCUCGAAGACAUCCCCGCGGUUCGUCGGACGAUCCGCGAGGCGCCGCGUCGAGAACGCCGGCCGCUCCGUCGUUAGACGAAGCGGCGGUCGUCGGUCCCGAUUCGCUGCGUCAAGAUAUGAUUCCUCCGUCCCCGGCAGAAGACGGAUCGGUUCGGCGGGCCCGGCCGAAACGCGACGACCCCUCGUAGAGGAGACGCCGAGCGCAACGGGCCCUCUCCAACACCCCGCGCUAUCCCGACGACCGGGAACGGGUCGCGCGCGGAACCGGAGAGGAGUC